CAUAGCGAACAAGUCUUUCGUCUUUUACUAAAGACUUCGGUG
rnacentral:snRNA from 1 species